GACGAACGCUGGCGGCGUGCCUAAUACAUGCAAGUCGAGCGCAGGGAGCCGUCUGAACCCUUCGGGGGGACGACGGUGGAAUGAGCGGCGGACGGGUGAGUAACACGUAAAGAACCUGCCCAUAGGUCUGGGAUAACCACGAGAAAUCGGGGCUAAUACCGGAUGUGUCAUCGGACCGCAUGGUCCGCUGAUGAAAGGCGCUCCGGCGUCGCCCAUGGAUGGCUUUGCGGUGCAUUAGCUAGUUGGUGGGGUAACGGCCCACAAAGGCGACGAUGCAUAGCCGACCUGAGAGGGUGAUCGGCCACACUGGGACUGAGACACGGCCCAGACUCCUACGGGAGGCAGCAGUAGGGAAUCUUCCACAAUGGACGAAAGUCUGAUGGAGCAACGCCGCGUGAACGAUGAAGGCUUUCGGGUCGUAAAGUUCUGUUGUAAGGGAAGAACAAGUGCCGCAGGCAAUGGCGGCACCUUGACGGUACCUUGCGAGAAAGCCACGGCUAACUACGUGCCAGCCGCCGCUGUAACAC
rnacentral:rRNA from 1 species